rnacentral:tRNA from 1 species
GGUGGUUUGGCUUAGUGGUUAGAGCAUAGGCCUCGUAACCGAAAGGUCGCGGGAUCGAAUCCCGCUGAAAGCU